GAUGGUAUUCGAAGCAUCGAUUCACUUCUUCUCGAUCUAUCAACACUAAGAGCGGCGACAAAUGACUUCGGCGAAGGAAAUAUGCUUGGUAAAGGAGGUUUUGGGAUGGUUCAUAAGGGAGUCCUACGUGACGGUAAACAAAUAGCAGUAAAAAGACUAUGUCAGAGUUCCAGACAAGGAAUAGGGGAACUGAAAAGUGAACUUGUCCUGGUCGCUAAGCUUCGCCACAGGAAUCUUGUGAGCCUCAUUGGCGUUUGUUUGGAAGAACAAGAGAAAAUACUUGUGUAUGAAUUUAUGCCCAACAGAAGCCUUGACACCAUUCUUUUCGAUUCUGAGAAACGCAGAGACUUAGAUUGGGGAAGCAGAUUCAAAAUUAUCAGUGGGGUUGCUAGGGGACUGCAGUAUCUCCAUGAAGAUUCUCAACUGAAGAUAGUUCACCGUGACCUGAAAGCGAGCAAUAUCCUGUUGGACCUUGAUUACAACCCUAAGAUUUCUGACUUUGGCUUAGCGAAGAUAUUCGGAGGGGAUCAAUCAGAAGAUGUCACUAGGCGCAUCGCUGGGACAUACGGAUACAUGUCGCCUGAAUAUGCCAUGCAUGGUCAAUACUCCGCAAAGUCGGACGCAUUCAGCUUCGGUGUUUUGGUUUUGGAGAUCGUCACAGGGAGAAGAAACAAUGGCUCCUGCAACUCCGAGCAAUAUGUCUAUCUCGUAAACCUUGUAUGGGAGCACUGGACCAGGGGAAAUGUCAUCGAGUUGAUCGAUCCAUCCCUUAGCGACCAUCCCUCUCACGUUGACCAGGUGCUGAAGUGCAUCCAGAUCGGGCUGCUGUGCGUGCAGAACAGGCCUGAAGAUAGGCCGGCGAUGUCGUCGGUGAAUGUCAUGCUUAGCAGCCAGAGUGCUCGCCUCCCUUCUGUUUCCAUGCCAGGCUUCUCUGACGGAUUGAGUGGACGCAGUGACAAUAAUUCAAAAGCGGCGUCCUCAAAUGGAAUGACCAUCACAAAGCUCGAGCCAAGAUGA
rnacentral:rRNA from 1 species